CCUCCUCAGGCCGGCCUGUGCAGCCUGUGCAGCCUCUUCCCAGAGAGUAAAGUAAGUUCGACCCAGAUGUUUUCUUUUUUUCGACCCAGAUGUUUUCUUUUUUUACCUGUGAAAACCCGGCUCUCAAUGAUUCCUUCACAAUAGGCACUACGGUUCUUUUAGAGGCUGGUGAAGUGUCCGUGUCAGUAUAAGGUGCAUUUUAAGCAGCUCAGGUGUAAGAGGGCUUUUCCUCUUUGAUUUAUUAAUGUAUUUUAUGGAUUGGACCAGAGCACCCUUGAUCAUGCAGGAAUGUCUUCAUCUGACACGUGGUGUUACUGGAUUGGAGAUUCCUUGUCAGGUGAAGCGGUCACUCACGACGGUUUGGUAUACUGCAGGUAUAGGGCUCCCAUCUGGCCUCCAACUGAGGCUGCAGUGCCAGCGGGUUGGAGGCUGUGCUGCUGCUCUGGCUCUUGAACCCGGACUUAAUGCCCGCUGCUCAGCAGUAUCUCCCUUCUGUGGAGCUCCUGGCUUCAUCUGGUAUCUCUAUUCCAUCCUAUCUGGAUGGAGCAGGCCAAUUGAGACCUUCCUCAGGUGCGGAUGAAUCCGUUUCCAGUUAAUAUGGGGCACCAAGAGGAGGAGAACAACUCAAAUGGGAAUAAAGGAAAGUAGACGCCGGCACGCAGAAAGAAGUUGGUCAGGCUAAAUGGCAAAUGCCCUUCAAACAAUUUGACUGGUGGACACGGACAUGCUGGCCGUAGUUCUCUUCUCACAGAGCAUUAAGAGCUGACUCGUCUCAAUCAGACGUCCUGAGGAAUAAAUCAGGGUUUUGUAAAGGACAAAAGAGGGCUUCCCCUCUGUGAGCUGCUCUCUGCAAUCAGCUGUAAACGUGAGUCUCCUGUUUCAGCCUCUUCAAUACAGCCUCUAGUGGCCACUAGAUGAACUGCUUCUUUGGACACCCUGCUUAUGCUUCAGCUUGCCCCGAGAAUUCCAAGUUUGCGGUCAUCAUCCAAACGCCUCUGUGGCAAAGGACGUAUUUGAAUUCCGGCCUUGAUCUCUAUCUCUCUCUCUCUCUCUUUGUUUUCCCACCUCAACCUCCUUGGUUCACCUCCACACUCUCUCUUUCUUCUUUUUUCCCCUAAAAAAAAACACUGACGUCAGCGAGUGCAUCCACUCCACAAACAUCACAACACAAACAGCACUGUGGGCAGAGCCAUAGGGCCACUGAGAGGAGGCACAGCAGCAGCAGCAGCAGCAACAGCGCUCUCACUUGUCAGUUUACAUAACACUGAUUAUAACCCUGAGAUUUAUCCAACCAACGAGCAACAGUUUACUUUGGCCUGGGCAUUAAAAUCUCAGCGGCCAUCUGUUCCACCGCUUAGUUGCUUUCCUUCAAAUAGUUUUUUUUCCGCCCACUGAUUCUAGUGUCGCUCAGAUAUCACACAGCAGUAAUGUGGGAUUACUUUCUGUCUUCUAUU
ensembl:lncRNA